rnacentral:rRNA from 1 species
GACUAACGUUGGCGGCGUGCCUAAUACAUGCAAGUCGAACGAGGUACCUUCGGGUACCUAGUGGCGAACGGGUGAGUAACACGUGGGUGAUUUACCCUUUGGACUGGGACAACUAGCCGAAAGGUUAGCUAAUACCGGAUAAGACCACAGCUCAUAAUAGAGCAGCGGUUAAAGGUGGGGAUCUUCGGACCUACCACCAGAGGAUAAGCCCGCGGCUGAUUAGUUUGAUGGUGGGGUAACGGCCUACCAUGGCGAUGAUCAGUAGCCGGCCUGAGAGGGUGAACCGGUCACACUGGAACUGAGACACGGUCCAG